rnacentral:rRNA from 1 species
ACGAACGCUGGCGGCACGCUUAACACAUGCAAGUCGAACGAGAGAAGAGGAGCUUGCUUUUCUGAUCUAGUGGCGGACGGGUGAGUAACACGUGAGCAAUCUGCCUUUCAGAGGGGGAUACCGAUUGGAAACGAUCGUUAAUACCGCAUAACAUAAUUGAACCGCAUGAUUUGAUUAUCAAAGAUUUAUCGCUGAAAGAUGAGCUCGCGUCUGAUUAGCUAGUUGGUAAGGUAACGGCUUACCAAGGCGACGAUCAGUAGCCGGACUGAGAGGUUGAUCGGCCACAUUGGGACUGAGACACGGCCCAGACUCCUACGGGAGGCAGCAGUGGGGAAUAUUGCACAAUGGAGGAAACUCUGAUGCAGCGAUGCCGCGUGAGGGAAGAAGGUUUUAGGAUUGUAAACCUCUGUCUUCAGGGACGAAAAAAGACGGUACCUGAGGAGGAAGCUCCGGCUAACUACGUGCCAGCAGCCGCGGUAAUACGUAGGGAGCGAGCGUUGUCCGGAAUUACUGGGUGUAAAGGGAGCGUAGGCGGGAUCGCAAGUCAGAUGUGAAAACUAUGGGCUUAACCCAUAAACUGCAUUUGAAACUGUGGUUCUUGAGUGAAGUAGAGGUAAGCGGAAUUCCUAGUGUAGCGGUGAAAUGCGUAGAUAUUAGGAGGAACAUCAGUGGCGAAGGCGGCUUACUGGGCUUUAACUGACGCUGAGGCUCGAAAGCGUGGGGAGCGAACAGGAUUAGAUACCCUGGUAGUCCACGCCGUAAACGAUGAUUACUAGGUGUGGGGGGACUGACCCCUUCCGUGCCGCAGCAAACGCAAUAAGUAAUCCACCUGGGGAGUACGACCGCAAGGUUGAAACUCAAAGGAAUUGACGGGGGCCCGCACAAGCAGUGGAGUAUGUGGAUUAAUUCGAAGCAACGCGAAGAACCUUACCAGGUCUUGACAUCGUAUGCAUAGCUCAGAGAUGAGUGAAAUCUCUUCGGAGACAUAUAGACAGGUGGUGCAUGGUUGUCGUCAGCUCGUGUCGUGAGAUGUUGGGUUAAGUCCCGCAACGAGCGCAACCCUUACUGUUAGUUGCUACGCAAGAGCACUCUAGCAGGACUGCCGUUGACAAAACGGAGGAAGGUGGGGAUGACGUCAAAUCAUCAUGCCCCUUAUGACCUGGGCCUCACACGUACUACAAUGGCUGUCAACAGAGGGAAGCAAAGCCGCGAGGUGGAGCAAACCCCUAAAAGCAGUCUUAGUUCGGAUUGUAGGCUGCAACCCGCCUACAUGAAGUCGGAAUUGCUAGUAAUCGCAGAUCAGCAUGCUGCGGUGAAUACGUUCCCGGGCCUUGUACACACCGCCCGUCACGCCAUGGGAGUCGGUAACACCCGAAGCCUGUAGUCUAACCGCAAGGAGGACGCAGUCGAAGGUGGGAUUGAUGACUGGGGUG